rnacentral:rRNA from 1 species
UAGGGAAUCUUCCACAAUGGACGCAAGUCUGAUGGAGCAACGCCGCGUGAGUGAAGAAGGCUUUCGGGUCGUAAAACUCUGUUAUUGAAGAAGAACGUGUGUGACAGUAACUGGUCAUGCAGUGACGGUAUUCAAUCAGAAAGUCACGGCUAACUACGUGCCAGCAGCCGCGGUAAUACGUAGGUGGCAAGCGUUGUCCGGAUUUAUUGGGCGUAAAGCGAGUGCAGGCGGUCUUUUAAGUCUGAUGUGAAAGCCUUCGGCUUAACCGAAGAAGGGCAUCGGAAACUGGGAGACUUGAGUGCAGAAGAGGA